GCCAGGCUCUGUGGUGAGCACCUGUGAUCCCAGCGGCUCGGGAGGCUGAGACAGGAGGAUCGUGAGUUCAAAGCCAGCCUCAGCAAAAAGCAAGGCACUAAGCCACUCAGUGAGACCCUGUCUCUA
rnacentral:sRNA from 1 species